rnacentral:rRNA from 1 species
AAUGCGUAGAGAUCUGAAGGAAUACCGGUGGCGAAGGCGGCCCCCUGGACAGAUACUGACACUCAGAUGCGAAAGCGUGGGGAGCAAACAGGAUUAGAUACCCUGGUAGUCCACGCUGUAAACGAUGUCUACUUGGAGGUUGUGGCCUUGAGCCGUGGCUUUCGGAGCUAACGCGUUAAGUAGACCGCCUGGGGAGUACGGUCGCAAGAUUAAAACUCAAAUGAAUUGACGGGGGCCCGCACAAGCGGUGGAGCAUGUGGUUUAAUUCGAUGCAACGCGAAGAACCUUAC